GUGCCCCUCAGUGUUUGAAGAGUUUUCAGAGCAUCUUAUACUAGUUGCUGCCACAGCCAAUGACCAGAGUUUAUCACAGGGGCAGUGAGAAAUUACUUCCACUUUUGGAAUGGUUUCAUUUUCUAGUUCCUUUAUUUGUAAUAUGAAUAUCAAAACCACAAAAGCAUCUCUGUGCAUCAUAUGCAGAAACUGAAAGUUUGUAUUCCAUAUCAAAUUUGUAAUCAUUAAGCACAUCAUUUUCUUCCUGCCAUAUGGGAAGCCGGAAAGGCCUGAAGGAAAACACAGCACUAUGCAAACAAGUGGCCGGAGAAGAACAUUUUACUUUAUGGAGACUUUUAAAUCUUUGAAUGAAAAUGAAAGCUACAGUCCUAAACUCUCAUUUAGUUAUUUCUCAUUGGCUUUCUUUUAGGCUUCCAUGGUUCUUUGAAAAUAUGUGUCAUGUUUCAGCAGACCAAAACACAUCCUGUGAUACACUGAACUAUUGGUCAAUGGCUCUGAAGUAGGAAAAAAAUAGAAGCACGCGAAAAAUUAGAAACAUAGUAACUCUCCACUUCCUUAUUUUUCCUAUUGAGACUUUUGUCCGUUUUUCCAAUGAUAGCGUUUGUCCUUCUCACAUUUCUAAUAAGUAACUUUUAGGAAGAUUGCCUUGCAUCUAACUGUACCUGACUGCCAGGGGCUGAUGAGGCAAUAGUCUGGCAUAUUUGGGUACUUUGUAAUAUGUCAAAAGUUGGAGAAAAGGAUAAAAUACCUUGCAAAUGUUUUUUUUCAAAGUACAAAUCAAGACUGCAUUUGGUAAAGGUUUUCAGCUUGAAUGCAAAUCUGUGGUCACUUUAGAGGCAUUGUUCGAUCUAAUGAGAACAAGGAAGCUAAAGCAGAAACCAAGGUCGCCUGUUCCUCUAGAUGAUCAAAAGGAGAAAAGAGAAAUAGUUUGUGUGAGUAAACUAAAAGCUCUAGACUUCAUUUCCAUCUGCCUGAUGAACAUCUCUACCUUAAAAUCCUGUUAUCCAGUUUCACGGGGGACUUCACUGACACGAGGACUAUUAUGAGAGGAUCGGCAGAGGGACCUUCAUUCAAGGCCAUGAGAAACACAAAUGUGUCUCCUCUCAAUAGAGCAUCUUUUCUAAUACAUCUGCAUUUCUCUCUACCAUUAUGUUAUACUAAUUUAUAAAAUGUAGCUGUUUUUAAUAAAAGAAUUUUCAUUUAAAAAAUAAUUUACA
rnacentral:lncRNA from 1 species